UAGCAUAAUUGCAUAUUUGCAGCAAAAAGGUUUUUUGGAGGUGACACGGUAAAGUGUUCGAUUGCAGUAUACCGGUGUACUGGAGUGCUCUGUGUUUGCACUUUCGGGCAGAAGUGGCCAUGAAACAUACAUAUUUGCACUUCUGCUCGAAAGUGCAAAAGUAGUACACGGAACUACACCGGUGCAAAUCAAUCGAAAACCACGCUUCUCAUAAAUAAGAAGCCUAGAUUUGGUUCCUGCAAGAUCGAGAUGGCACUGGGUGCUGCGAAGGCUAUGGAUGAUAAGCAGUGUUGGGAACGAUCAACACAGACUGCCUUCAUGUAAGCAAACUAUAAACGAUGAGUUGUCCUUCCUCUAUUUGUCCUUCCAGUAUCAAGGUGCUCUGCUGUUUGUGUGACGUCAAAGUACGCGUUCCCAUUUUGAAGAACUAUAAUCAAAUAUCGUUGGCUUGUUUAACUGCUAAUACGCAUGGUCUGAAGGAUGAUGCCACUCAGCUGGAUGAGAUUAUUUUUUAGGUCCACCAGUUACGAUUCAGUAAACUAAUAAUAAUGGUGUGCUUCCGAGCCAAACAUAGGGCAUAUUGACAGCAUGGUGCGGACUGACUUCUCGCCAUUUAUCGUAAUAAAACGCACUGCCAGAUUAUAUAAAUUAUAACAAUAAUAAAAAAAUUCCUUUUUUUAUCAGAAGAAACCAAAUAAAUAUCCUGGCAGGAGCUG